ensembl:lincRNA
GGUGUAGAAAGAUAUAUAAAGAGAUAGAGAUGUGAAAUGGAAUAUUUUCAUUGUCUCAAAAUAUCUCACUCCAAAAUACUGGCUGAUUGCUAAAAGAGAAAGGAGUAAGAUACCACAAUAACCAAAGGAUCCAAGUUAAUCUCACUAGUAAAAGGGCAAAUAGAAAUUAGGUACCACCUGAUAGGAUGCAGGGAGAAGGACACAGCAUCACCUCUGUGAUAUCCUUGCCAAACUCACUGAUCUUGAGGAAUAUUUUAUAAAAUUACCACCCUGUAAUCCUUAAAGGUGCCACGGACAUGAGAGUCAAGUAGAGGUUGAGAAAUUGUUCCAGAUCAAAGGAGACCAAAGCAACAUGCUGCCCAAACGCAAUUCAUGAUUCUAUUAGGCGAUGCUGUCAAGGCAACUGGGGACAUGAAUGCUCUUGGCAGAUGGGCCGAUAGGAAGGAAUUCGAUAAUGGAGGAACCCAACCAAGUAGAACGGGUUGCACAUCAGCUUGACUUGAUAGUUCAUGUGGCAAGGAUGAACAGAUGCUUCUCAGAGCCAGCAAAACAGCAACUGGGUAAAUAUAGGAGGAUGACGCAUCAAGCCCCGCGUGGACGUGCCCCCACGAGCGCGCAUGCACAGACAAGCCUGCAAGCCGUGCACCACCACGUGGCCCUCAGCCUCCAGGAACUGAUGCUCAGGCUCCUCCAGCCAGAAACUCCUAAUGGAACGGGGCGUCCUCCAAGAAGCCUGGGAGGGGGCCGCGAGGGCGGUCGUGCCCUCAGCUCCUUGGAGCAUCGUCAGCGGUCGCCCUCUGUCGUCCCUGGCUAUAUAUAGACCUGCUGCCUGCAGCGCACCUCCUGUCUUUGUGAAUGAAAUCCCGAACGUCCUUCCCGGCUCUGUCAGAGCAGCAGGGGCGUUUGAAAGUUUUUGAAAAUGAGUGGGGGAAAUAGAGCAGGUGUUUUGUUUUGCUCAUUGUGAAAGGCAGACACCGAUUUGGAAGGUUUCAAGGUAGGGAACGUGAGCCAAACUGAGGACAGCCAAUUUUUUUUAAAUUACCAGCACAAUUAGCAGCCUGGCUCAACAACAAACCUGUUUUGUCAAGCUCUGUUUCAGGAUUAGGGCGUUGCGGCAAUAGUACCAAACAGGUGAACGGAGCAGUGAUUAUAUCCCACUCUUGAAAAUCAGUGUUCUGCCUCUUGAAAAUCAGUGUUCUGCCUCCUGGGAGGCCACCAGCAAGCCUCUGACUCCCUCUUUCUGGCCCUGACUGAAUUGGCAUAAGGGCAGGGAUCAGGUCUCUAUAAGGCCAUCUGCUCUGUGGUGGAUCAGUCCAUGUUAAAUGAACUAUAUUAAAUGAAUGUGUUGUACAUCAACAUUAGCUUCUUGGGGUAAAACAAAACAGAGUCUCUCUGUCUUCUUAUCAUCCCUAGUUGUGACCACGAUUUGAAAUUUUGAACUGUUUAAUGGAAAGGCAUAUGACUCUAAAGGUUACUCAGUAAUAUCUUCUUGGGGACAGGAUUUCUGUGGGAGACCCACUAAGAGCAUCCAUUAGGCCUUAGAAUGCUUUGGUGUGAGCCUCCUUGGUAAAACUUGAGUGUGCUUUGCUCUGUUACUCAAAUCAGGCCCAAGAGACUCAGACAAGUCAAGAAUGCUCCACUGAGGUGUGCGAGGUCUCCAAGGAACAGUAGAGGCCCAGAAAUGACCUCAGAGGACCUUUGUAAGGAACCAGAGACUAGAGAAUUCUGGGCCAUCAGACUUUACCUCUGGAAUUGAGUCAGAGGAGCAGAAAUCAUAGACUGGUCAGUUCCUGCUCAGCCUUCACUGAACCUCAACCUCUCUCAUUGGGCCAGAGUUUGGCUGAGUCUUCUCCAGAGCUAACCUUAGGGCAGUCAUGGUGGAAGGAGUCUCAGACCCCUCAAGAGAGACCUCAGCAACUCCCCAGCUAAGCUGUGAUCCUGAUUUCAGCUCUUCUAUUAUAGGACGGGUGGUGGACCGAGUAUUGUUAAUUGCAGAGUCCCUAAGAAGAUCAUGUCCCAAAAUAUUGCCUCACGGGAUGUUUGAUUCCACCAGUUUGAAUCCGUUUGAGAGGCAUUGCUUUCCUUUAAGGGUUGUCUGCAAAUGUAUUGAUCAUCAAGGGAAUAGCUAUCGUUCCCUACCCUUCCACUACUGAUAUCUACAAAUGUACAAACUUCCUUGCCUAUGUUUCCUUACCAACUGGCUUCCAGUUAGGUUAGGCCAAAGGGAGGCCUCAGCAGGAAGUCGGAGGGCAGGCGAAGGGGUGAAGUGGUGGUAUUUCCACCCCUCUCUUGGGCUCAGGUGCUGUCUUCCAUGGUGUCCGUGAUUCCUGUGCGGUCCCAGCUCCUAUCCGGCAGUUUGACCAUGGCUCCAUGUCCUCCAGGAAGUUCCAGGCUCUUCUCCCUUGGUGUCUCCAGCUCUAGCUGUUGCUGAUUGCUGCCUCGGCAGCUACUGUUGGCUCCUCUCUUCUUCCAGCCCAUUUGUGGCUAGUUCCCCUAUUAAUUCCCUUUAGUGAACUACCUGACUUGGGCUCUGUUUUCUUGUCUUGACUCUGACUUAUUAUGAGGGUUAGCAUAUAAACAUCUUCUAAGUAAGUAAUGAUUUUUUUUUUCCUACAAUAGCAGGGAAGUCCUAGGGAGCUCAAAAGAGAAGGGCUCAAAGUGGAAAAAGGGUGAAGACAUUUCCCCAGGUCUUCUCUACCCUAUCUAAGCCCCCUCUGACCAUGCUGUGGGGAAAGCCACAACCUAGCAGCCCCCUUCCACCAGCCUGACUUGUUACUCUCAGAUUUUCACACCAUAGAGUUUCUGCCCCAGCUGAGAUCUGUUUGCUGACACCUGUGAUUCAUGAGCUCCCAGCUAAACACUCUGGCCCAUCCAUCCUCCUCGCCUAGAAGAACAUCUCUCUUCCUCACCUCUCCAUCUCUUUGGCUCUUUCUUCUUUGCAAUCCUGCUGAAAGCCUGAGGUCUGAGCACUCUGUCACUGUUCCGCGCCCCACCACAAGUUAUUUAUGCACACUGAGCUCUAAUGCUCUUGUGUUCUUCUGUUUAUUUCUGUCAGACAUCUUGUCAUUUUAAUUACACGUGUUUUCCUAUUUGGCCAAAGGAAUUUUAAGGUCUGUGCCACUACAAGACCAGGUCUACUGUGUCUUCUGCUGCCUGUUCCUACCCUUCCCUCAGCUUCGCCAGUCGCCGGCAAUUAUAAUAUUUAGCAUUGCUCUAGUGUGUUCAACAAAUAUUGAUAUGUCUCCUAAACAAAUUCCCUCAGCUACGAAGACAGGCUUAUAUCUGUUUGUCAGGACAACAUGCUUUUUGGGGGAGCGGCACUGGCCAGGAGAACUUCAGAACUGUUCUCUCUUUGACAGACCAUUCCCAGUAGAAUCCAGUCUCCAGGCAUGAGGUUUGCUCAGUCAUUAUUUUUAUUUCUCCCUGGGCCUUGCGUGUUUAAACUACAUUUGGAAUGCGGUUGUUUUCCCCCCAGCCCAAACCUCCUGAAGGGGAUUCUUGCUGAUGGCAUCUGUGGCAGAGACGAGCUCAUGCCUGAAGGGAUAAAUUAUUUAUGGUGAAUGGUGCCCUAAUGGAUUGUGUGAUCGAUAAUGCUUAUAAUAGUACAGCAGCAGACAGAUCACAGAAGGGCUAGAACACGCAUCUACAUCAUUCGGAGGAGAUGGGGUCCGCCAGACAGCAAGAAGAAAAAGGGGGUGUUCAUGACGUCAACCUCAAAACAGUGCUGGAUGAGGAGAAAAGAACAGCAUUCUUUUUUCUUUUUUUUUUAAUUUAAAGGGACAGAUCAGCUUUUAAUCAUGGGAUCACUGUACCAAAAUGCCCCACCAGUAUCCACUUACC